rfam:Gossypium raimondii Chr12_contig_360, whole genome shotgun sequence.
UCUAGAAGAAUGACAAAUUAGAUUUUUCUUCCUAGUUUUUAGCUUUUUUCUCCUGAACAAAUUUAAAUCUAAUUAAAAAUGCCAAAAAUUAAGAGGAAAAAUCUGAUUUCUCAUUCUCCUAUU